UACGUAGGGUGCGAGCGUUGUCCGGAAUUACUGGGCGUAAAGAGCUCGUAGGUGGUUUGUCGCGUUGUUCGUGAAAACUCACAGCUCAACUGUGGGCGUGCGGGCGAUACGGGCAGACUGGAGUACUGCAGGGGAGACUGGAAUUCCUGGUGUAGCGGUGGAAUGCGCAGAUAUCAGGAAGAACACCCGUGGCGAAGGCGGCUCUCUGGGACGUGACUGACGCUGAGACGCGAAAGCGUGGGGAGCAAACAGG
rnacentral:rRNA from 1 species